GGAUUGUCUUGGGAACCAGGCAGAAAGACAGGUGUGGGCCGGGGCAGGGAAGGUCUCGGUAAACAUGUUAAGGAGUUUGAACGUUACCAUGCCCUUUACGAAGCAACGUGAGAAACGGGUGAGGGCUUCCGAGCGCGAGUGGUAGAGAAGCUAGUGGUGUAGACCCGCGGCUCUCCCACCUGUCGGAGACUGGCUUCCAGUAUAUUCGAUACAUGUUUCUUCAGUUUCUACCCUGCGUGCAGCAAGCUUUGAAAGCUUCAGAGAAGAGUACGACAGUCUUGGCCAUAAACAAAUUGUUGUCUGAGGAGUGUCGGGGGCCAGGGCGUAAGGCAAGCACACAGAUGGCUAAAAUGACAGAUAAGUAUAAGAAGAAAAUGGCUCAUAGUUUCCCGGCCCAGACUAGCCUCACUGGCAUAAAUAAAUAAAUGUAAUCCAAGUACAUUGGUUGGAAAAUUCACAUUGAACAGCAAAGAAACAAAAUGGAAAGUAGAAUCCUCCCUCCUCCCACCCUCCAAUUCCUGUCCCCGAAGUUACACACCAUCCAUUGUCUCUCGUGAUUCACCCAGGAUGUUUUCCCCUAUGGACACACCAUCAUAUAUGUCCCGCUCUAACCCCCUCUCCCCCCACCCAACACACACGCGUGCUUUUAGAAUGUAUAUACAGAGGGGCGGUAGGAUACACAGGCUCUGCCCCAUGGGCCUCUUUCUAAAGUAAAGGACUUCGGGAAGGAGGGGGAGGCUCCUGCAGGCUCACUCGGGGCAGAGCUUUGUGAUUUCAGCAGGGAGGAAUGGGCUAAGGGUGCCCAGCCAACAGAGGGGGGAAAUGGAGCAAGCUCUGGACAAUCGUGCUAGGAAAUAAGCCAGACUGUGGUGAGGUAAUGCAUGGGCUCGGUGCUGUGCUUCGUUACAGUAACAAGACCCUUGGGACUCAAGGGGGUAGGGCGGGGGCAGCCCCAUGCAGGGAGAGGUGGAGCCCAGAGGAGCCUGGCUCUUGUUUUCCGUCUGCCUCUUUGUGCCGGGUCUGGAAGUGUUGCAGAAGGGGAAGGAAAGGGCCACCUGUAUUCAGGAUGAGCCCAACUGGACAAUUCCUCAUUCCCUUUGUUGUAGGAGGGGGCACGCCUUCAAUUUUGGCCUCUCUCCUUAACGAACAGUGCAGCUUUGUAGAGUGAUUUCCACUCUCUGAACCUUAGUUUUCUUGGACCUAGGUGAUCUCCGAGGCCAUUUCCAGGAAAGAUGUUGGGAUACGGCGUUAGAAGACGUAGGCCAGCCCUUUUAGCAUGUGUGUGUCUCUGUUUCCCUAGCUACAAAAUGGGGUUAAUCAUCACGCCCACCUCAUAGGGAGGGUGUGACGGUCAAAAGAGGAGAAAGUGCUUUGCUAACUGUAAGGUACUGAACAAACAGCAAACAUUAAUGUGCUGGAAGAAUGAUAGAGGCCAGGACUUUCCUGACCUUCUCCUACAGGCUUCCCCAGUUACUCCCAGAGUGGAACAACCACAAGGACUAAGAUAUCAAUUUUUUUUUUCUUUUAAAAGCAACUUUAGAGAUUUCCCUGGCGGCACAGUGGUUAAGUAUCUGCCUGCCAAUGCGGGGGACACGGGUUUGAUCCCUGGUCCGGGAAGAUCCCACAUGCCACAGAGCAACAAAGCCCGUGCGCCACAACUACUGAGCCUGUGCUCUACAGCCCACGAGCCACAACUACUGAAGCCUGCGUGCCACAACUAUUGAGCCCACAUGCCACAACUACUGAAGCCCGCGUGCCUAGAGCCUGCGUGCAUCAACGAAGACCCAACACAGCCAUAAAUAAAUAAAUAAAUGUAUUUUUAAAAAA